AGUAAACGUUGGCGGCGUGCCUGACACAUGCAAGUUGAACGAGAAAGUCCUUCGGGAUGAGUACAGUGGCGAACGGGUGAGUAACACGUAAGAAUCUGCCCUUUAGUGGAGAAUACCUUCGAGAAAUCGAAGUUAAUACUGCAUAAGAUCGAAAGAUGAAAGAUGGCCUCUUUGCUGUUGCUAAAGGAUGAGCUUGCGUACUAUUAGCUAGUUGGUGGGGUAAAGGCCUACCAAGGCGAUGAUGGUUAGCCGGCCUGAGAGGGUGUACGGCCACACUGGAACUUAGACACGGUCCAGACUCCUACGGGAGGCAGCAGUGGGGAAUAUUGCACAAUGGGCGCAAGCCUGAUGCAGCGACGCCGCGUGAGGGAUGACGGCCUUCGGGUUGUAAACCUCUUUCAGCAUCGACGAAGCGAAAGUGACGGUAGGUGCGGAAGAAGGACCGGCCAACUACGUGCCAGCAGCCGCCGUAA
rnacentral:rRNA from 1 species